AUGUAAGGCAAUCUGUCUUUAAGUAGGGGUAAAUUACUCUUAAAGAAAAAAAAAAAGGAAUCCUAGAUAGUUUUCCUUUCAAGUAAAGUGUCUUGU
rnacentral:pre_miRNA from 1 species